rnacentral:rRNA from 1 species
CACGUAGGGCGCAAGCGUUGUCCGGAAUUAUUGGGCGUAAAGAGCUCGUAGGCGGUCUGUUGCGUCCGCUGUGAAAACCCGGGGCUUAACCCUGGGCUGGCAGUGGAUACGGACAGACUAGAGGUAGGUAGGGGAGAAUGGAAUUCCCGGUGUAGCGGUGAAAUGCGCAGAUAUCGGGAGGAACACCAGUAGCGAAGGCGGCUCGCUGGGCCAUUCCUGACGCUGAGACGCGAAAGCUAGGGGAGCGAACAGG